AAAAAUGACGACUUUUGGAAAGACACGGUGAGAUUUGCUCCAAAAAAGUCAAGUUUUCACCGCAAUUCCGAGGAUAAACUGCUGCCAAGGUGUAAUGUCAGGCUCUCCGAGUAGAUGUCCAAGACCGGCCAUGAAAAGAAGCUGCACUCUCAGUAAAAGAAAGUUUGCUCCACCCUCCAAUGAGAUGUACCCAUCCGAAGCGUAGGUGUCUGAGAUCUGCAAACAGCAACGCUGAAAGUGUCUUCCCAUCAACAUAUUCAAUACUGAAGCAAAGUUUGCAAAUUCUGGUUUUGGGUUUUUUAAUAAUGUACAAUACUCUGUGAUCUUGAUAGAAUGGUGCUAUAUACAUGUAUACAAAUUUUUCUUCAAGCAGGCUUGACUCCUUGAUUCCGAUUCGUCAAUUCAUAGCAACAAGGAAUGUGAUUUAAACUUGUAUUUCACGACCUAUAACAAAUCUUGCAACAUAAGCUAUAUAUGCAAAAUGUACAGUUUAUUUUAUAACAAGUCAAUGUAAAUUCAAAAGAAACGUGUUUUGCGUAAAAUUCGGAUCAUCAAGUGCAAAAGUAUGCUUGGAGAUAAAUUUUGUUAUCACAAGCGUGCUCCUGAAUACAAACAAAUAUACAAUGCUGCGUCCCAUAUCCAGAUAAGUGCUAUUUUGUUAUAUACCACUUGCGCUUGUGUGAUUAACUCAUAAUGUUGUAUGUAUGUAUUUUAGUAUCGUAUAAGAUUAGUUAGUAUAGAUUUAUUGUCAACAUUUUAAAAUAUGUAAAUAAGUGCACCAUUGCAAGCAAGCACAUAUGCGUUUUUGUGCGCUACUUGGCGAUCUUAGGGCCUUGGUGGUGCGGCACUCGAAUAGUUUGGAAUCCGGAAGUACAAAGCAUGGGAAAUUCCAAACUUAAUACGAAAAGGGACUUGGACACGUGCACGUGGCAUGUGGGGUCUCAGCCCGGCCGGUUGUUUCACAGCUGGUGGUUGAUCUUAAAGGUGCAUCAUCUUCCUCAGCGGGUAGGAUGCUCUGGUCACAAUUGUGGUCGACCAAACGGUUUAGUUCCUAGUCUAGGCCAUGGUACUAGGGACCGCGUCUCGGGGGUAGGGGGUGUUCCCCCUCAG